AGCAGCCGCGGUAAUUCCAGCUCCAAUAGCGUAUAUUAAAGUUGUUGCAGUUAAAAGCUCGUAGUUGAAUUUCGGGGUCAGCAGGUCGGUCGUGCCAAUGGUAUGCACUGGCCUUGCUGAUUCCUCCCUCUUGAUGAGCCGUAAUGCCAUUAGUUUGGUGUUGCGGGGAAUCAGGACUGUUACUUUGAAAAAUUGAGUGUUUAAAGCAGGCAAGCGCUUGAAUACAUUAGCAUGGAAUAAUGAAAUAGGACGUUUG
rnacentral:misc_RNA from 1 species